GAUGAACGCUGGCGGCGUGCCUAAUACAUGCAAAUCGAGCGAACAGACGAGGAGCUUGCUCCUCUGACGUUAGCGGCGGACGGGUGAGUAACACGUGGAUAACCUACCUAUAAGACUGGGAUAACUUCGGGAAACCGGAGCUAAUACCGGAUAAUAUAUUGAACCGCAUGGUUCAAUAGUGAAAGACGGUUUUGCUGUCACUUAUAGAUGGAUCCGCGCCGCAUUAGCUAGUUGGUAAGGUAACGGCUUACCAAGGCGACGAUGCGUAGCCGACCUGAGAGGGUGAUCGGCCACACUGGAACUGAGACACGGUCCAGACUCCUACGGGAGGCAGCAGUAGGGAAUCUUCCGCAAUGGGCGAAAGCUUGACGGAGCAACGCCGCGUGAGUGAUGAAGGUCUUCGGAUCGUAAAACUCUGUUAUUAGGGAAGAACAAAUGUGUAAGUAACUAUGCACGUCUUGACGGUACCUAAUCAGAAAGCCACGGCUAACUACGUG
rnacentral:rRNA from 1 species